rnacentral:ncRNA from 1 species
CCCAACGCUCCGGGGUGCACGCAAGUGCUGAGAUCCACACCCGAGAACUUGAACCGGGUAAUUCCGGCGGAAGAAGAGCUGUCACCCCCCGG